rnacentral:lncRNA from 1 species
GGUCUGCCUCCCGCGGCGGGCCGGGUCUCCAGGGAGGACCUGAGUUUUCUUCACCCAUGGUCAGGGAAGCGCCAUCGCCCUGGCUUUGAGGCUGGGGCCUCCGGGGAGGUUCCGGUAGGGGCUUUGAAGAGGCCGCUGUUUUUGCAAGGCCGAGACGGCGGGCCCUGCGCAGGCCGCCCUAUUCCGCGCCCUCAGGGCGUCAGUAUCCGCCUGAGGCCGGAUACCCCCUCUGGGCCCGGAUGCCCCCGCUGGCCCCGGAGCAUCCUCGGCGCUGCCCUCCCAGAGCCCCGCAGAGGCUGAGGUGGCGCGGGGGCGGCCCCGGCUCCGCGAGAAGCGGCGGCAGCGAGGGCUGGAGGACCCGGGCUACGGGGCUCCGGGGCGUCUGGCCUGGUUGGGACUGAGCCCAUCCAGGGACUGGGACUCUGGGAUUCUGGUGUAGGUGGAUCCGGGGCAGGCUCAGGACCAAGUCCCUCUCCUUCCACCAAGGAGCGCCCAGAGGCCGGCGGGAGCUCCAGGUUCACCUCCUCCUCCUCCAGGAAAUCUCACUUCCAACUGGAUGUCUGGAUGAACUACUGAAAGCUGCUGAGUGUCCUGCAGCAGCUUGACUACCACACAAAUGAAUCCACUCAAAUGUUGGCAAGUGGAGCAGAGUCCCAGGACAGGUACAGAAACACCCCCAGUUCAAGGAUCUUCACACCUGGAUUUAGGCCUACUCCUGCAACUACCCCAGAACCUGGAAUUUAUAUGUUCAACAUGGAGCCAUCCCAGCCAUGACAACAGAGAAUGUACCACUCUCACGUGAGUAAGAGGGGUAGGCAGUGCUCCUGUAUCACCAGCCCUUAAUGAGACCCUGAGGAAACCACAUCAUGGAGAUCAGCCCUUCUCUCCUGGGGUAAUAUCGAGUUCCAGAAGGCAAGGAUUAACAUUCAGAAAAAUAGGAAAAACAACCUGCAG